AUUGCGCGGCGAAUAAUUGAUGAAGGCGAAGCCCCGCGUCUGGUCGAUGAUGUGGAACAGCGGGUUCCAGGCAAAGGCGUGCAGCAUGUAAAGCGGCAGGGUGUUGGCGACGAACAUCUUGCCCGAAAAGAUCAUGUUCAUGCGCUG
rnacentral:ncRNA from 1 species